rnacentral:lncRNA from 1 species
AGUGGCAUCAUUGCACUGUGACUGUGCAGGUCCCAAACAGUAUGGACAUGAAUGUCCUCAAGCUGCAUGUUAGCAGGGCUUCUAAUUCCAUCUGCAAGUGAUAGUGUGUGGAGCUUAGUUGCACAGAGCGCAUGUUACUGGAGGAGAUAUGGGUCUGUGUCAUCCUGCAUGGGAAUGAUCCUAAAAACAAAGUGAUCAGUGACUGCUCAGGACUGUGGAAAGGUCACUUGGAGCAGUGGGAAAAGGUCUGGCAGAGGAAUAAGAAGAUACAGGUCUUAGAACAAGCCCUGGGACUUCAACCAAGUCAUUUAACAUCUGGGGCCUUCGUUUAUUUAUCCUCCCAGCAGAUAAAGCAAUACCUGCCCUGUCUUCCUAACCUUGGAGGGGUCAAAAAAGUGAUGGGUGUGAAAGCAUUUUGUAAACUGUAGUGCAAGCAUACGGCAGGGGAGUGAACCAUACUUUCACUAGCGACUUGAAUGAGGUGAUAAAGAAAAGGCUCAGAACUUCAGAAAAUGCAAGAGGGGCUUGACCCUGGAUUGGCAGAGGAAAGCAAUGGUGGGAUCGAUACCUUGGAGAGCCAAGGACCAAGGGGUUAAGGGUCCAUGAGGACAGGCCUGGAUCAUCAGGAAGCUGAGUGUGGAUUCCAAGAGUCUCAAGGUUAGAGAAGUCGCCUAGUCCACCUCCCCUCUCUGCUUCUCACAGAAGGGUCUGCUGAACACUCUGGUGACAGAGAACUCACCCAACAUGUUCCAUGGCAGAGGCUUUUCAUUAGAUCAAGGUGACAUCUGUUUUACUGGAGCUUCCAACCACGUGUCCCAAUACUGCCCUUAGUCACAGGCAUCCAGGUCCUCUCUCUCAGGACAGCACUUUGAAUAAAUGAGGACAGCUCCCAUCCCCCUUUCUCCCAGUUGACUUUCCAGAAACAUCUCAUAUUGUUGUUGGCUUUCCACCAUUUUUCCUCUUCACUUCCUGGGCCUACUACUACACUGUGUGUCCUCCACUUGGUCUCUUCCUGAAAGCAACACUGUGCACAAUGUUCCUGGGGGCAGACUUAUUAAACCAAGUGGACCACUUCCUUCAUCUUAGGUGUCACAGCUCCAUCAAUGCAUCCUCAAAUCACAAUGAUUUUUCUGCACUUCACCCUACAGGUUCCUAUUUAACGUUACAUUGGCUAGGACAUUACUCAUUUACACACAGGCUCUGCUGAGCCCCAUCUUUGCCAAGACUCUGACUUCUGUUGUUUCAUUUAAAGAUGUAAGAACAGGGCCUCACAGUUCUUCCUAAGGAAUUUUACUUUGUGGCUGGGUGCGGUGGCUCACACCUGUAAUUCCAGCACUUUGGGAGGCCAAGUCAGGUGGAUGACUUGAGGUCAGGAGUUCGAGACCAGCCUGGCCAUCAUGAUGAAACCCCACCUCUACUAAAAAUACAAAAAUUAGCCGGGUGUGGUGGCAAGCACCUAUAUCCCAGCUACUUGGCAGGUUGAGGCAGGAGAAUCGCUUGAGCCCGGGAGGCAGAGGUUGCAGUGAGCCGAGAUCAUUGCACUCCAGCCUGGGCAACAGAGUGAGACUCCAUCUCAAACAAACAAACAAACAAAAAACAAAAACAACACAAAACAACAACAACAAAAACCAGAAAUUUUACUUUGCUACAUUCAGCCCAUAAUUUUUAGCAACCCAGAUCUUUCUGGAUCCUGGCUGUAUCUUCUCAGUGUGUUUCUUCUUCCUCCCAGUUUCCUGACCCCUGCAAAUAGGGCUGUAAAGAGGCUCUCUGAUGCUGCACCCCCUCCCUCAUUGCCACCAUGCAAAUCACAGAGGACCCCCACCAGGCCAGACUGGCUCACCUGCUUGAUGAAUGCACCAGCCCACUCUCCCAUCCGGGGAGGCCUGUCGGGCAUAAUGAUGUGGAACAUACUUGUUUUCUAUUCAGCUACGAAAGCAGGGUAUUAUCAAAUUUUAAAAGGCAUCGGCCAGGCACUGUGGCACAUACCUGUAAAACCAGGCACUUUGGGAGGCCAAAGUGGGUGGAUCGCUUGAGCCCAGGAGUUCAAGACCAGCCUGGGCAACAUGGCAAAACCCCGUCCCCUCUGCAAAACACACAAAAAUUAGCUGGGGAUGGUGGCACAGGCCUGUAGUCUCAGUUUCUCGGGAAGUUGAAGUGGAAGGAUCACUUGAGCCCGAGAGGCGGAGGUUGCAGUGAGCUGAAAUCCCACCACUGCACUCGGCCUGGCAGCCUGGGCAACAGAGAGAGACACUGCCUCAAAAAAAAUAAAUAAAAGGCAUCGAGAAAAGAAAGGGAGGAAGGGAGGAUUUUGACAAAAAAUUAUCAAUAGUAACAGUGGCGUCUGUGUAACAGGACUAUAGGUUUGGCUUUUUUAUUUAUUUAUUUAUUUAUUUUUUUGAUGGAAUCUUGCUCUGUCGCCCAGGCUGGAGUGCAGUGGUGCGAUCUCGGCUCACUGCAACCUCUGCCUCCCGGUUCAAGCGAUUCUCCUGCCUCAGCCUCCCAAGUAGCUGGGACUACAGGCGCCCGCCACCACGCUCGGCUAAUUUUUUGUAUUCUUAGUAGAGACGGGGUUUCACUGUGUUAGCCAGGAGGGUCUCGAUCUCCUGACCUCCUGAUCCGCCUGCCUCGGCCUCCCAAAGUGCUGAGAUUACAGGCGUGAGCCACCGCGCCUGGCCCCUUCAUGCGUUUUUACACGCUUCAUCCAACCAAUAGUUCAUGGAGGCCUUAGGUGUGUGUUUCCAAAUUUUCUAUGCUGAGUGUGUGUUCUUUGGAAAACCAGAAAAAAUAAAGCGAAAAAUAAAAUGAAAAUGAAUAAAGA